rnacentral:rRNA from 1 species
AACGAACGCUGGCGGCAUGCCUAACACAUGCAAGUCGAACGAGACCUUCGGGUCUAGUGGCGCACGGGUGCGUAACGCGUGGGAACCUGCCCUUAGGUUCGGAAUAACUCCCCGAAAGGGGUGCUAAUACCGGAUAAUGUCUUCGGACCAAAGAUUUAUCGCCUUUGGAUGGGCCCGCGUUGGAUUAGCUAGUUGGUAGGGUAAAAGCCUACCAAGGCGACGAUCCAUAGCUGGUCUGAGAGGAUGAUCAGCCACACUGGGACUGAGACACGGCCCAGACUCCUACGGGAGGCAGCAGUGGGUAAUAUUGGACAAGGGGCGAAAGCCUGAUCCAGCAAUGCCGCGUGAGUGAUGAAGGCCUUAGGGUUGUAAAGCUCUUUUACCCGGGAUGAUAAUGACAGUACCGGGAGAAUAAGCUCCGGCUAACUCCGUG